CCUACGGGUGGCAGCAGUGAGGAAUAUUGGUCAAUGGACGCAAGUCUGAACCAGCCAUGCCGCGUGCAGGAAGACGGCUCUAUGAGUUGUAAACUGCUUUUGUACGAGGGUAAACGCAGAUACGCGUUUCUUUCUGAAAGUAUCGUACGAAUAAGGAUGGGCUAACUCCGUGCCAGAAGCCGCGGUAAUACGGAGGAUUCAAGCGUUAUCCGGAUUUAUUGGGUUGAAAGGGUGCUUAGGCGGUCGUAUAAGUUAGAGGUGAAAUCCCGAGGCUCAACCUCUGAAUUGCCUCUGAUACUGGUCGGCUAGAGAGUAGUUGAGGUAGGCGGAAUGUAUGGUGUAGCGGUGAAAUGCUUAGAGAUCAGACAGAACACCGAUUGCGAAGGCAGCUUACCAGGCUACUUCUGACGUUGAGGCACGAAAGCGUGGGGAGCAAACAGGAUUAGAUACCCGGGUAGUC
rnacentral:rRNA from 1 species